rnacentral:misc_RNA from 1 species
GGAACAUAUCUCAAAUCCAAUAAACAAAACUUAAUGUUCGUCCAUAAUAAUGAUUACAAGCAUUACUCUCAUAAUUCCAGAAUAUGAAAAUUACUCACUCAUGGUGAGUUCAGCAAACAUGAUAAAAAUAAAAUAAGGGACAACAAAAAUCCUCUAAAAGAAAUCGAACGAAAAAAACGAAGAGGAUUUGCAGCUUUGAUCAUGUGAAACUUCAGCUGAAGGCUCCUCCUUGAUACUGAUACACUACUCUUCUAGGUGGCUAUGGGAAAAUGAUGAAGGUGUUAUCGUUCGGCUCUAGAUCCCCCUUUUUGCUCUCUGCUACUUCUAUUUAUAUUCAAUGCCUAGGGUUAGGUUUUUAGAGUCCCCGCAGCAUUAGAAGUCUUUUCUCUCUAUUAAAAACCGGAGCUAGAGCUAAAUCAGGAAACUGGCUAUCAGCUGAUACACGGCUUAGGGCCGUGUAAUUCAUUGGAGCUUCAAAGAUUGCAUCUCAUAUUGGCACAGGAGAUUACAGGGGGCAUUGCUAAUUACACGGGUCCAAAUACACGACUCGUGUUCUUUUGCUCUUCAGAGAAUUCUUCAAUUCGGGCCAAGCAGAGACUUACACGGGUCUUCAUGGUUUACACGGGUUGGGGUACGCGGCCCGUAUACUUCGUUUCUUCCUUGGCUCUUUAGUUUUCUCCUGGCAGUAUGUUACACAGGUCUGUGGCUUUGCUUACACGACCCGUGUAAAGUGUAUCAGCAACACUUCUCUUUCCUUUGAUCUUUCGAAGCUUUCUUUUGCACUCCUAUGCCUUAGAACUUCAUCCAAACACCUGAAAUGAUACAGAAAACAUGGAAUUUAGAUUUUGUUAAUGAAAAUCACAAAAGUUAAUGAAAUUAAUAACUAUGCAUAAAAUUAUCUAGAUAAUACAAGUCCAUCAGUAUCCUCCCUCAUCUUCUCAUGGUACGUAUGGAAUCCCCAUCUCUCUUAUCAAGUGCUUCCACUUCAAGACAUAGAUGCUAUAGGUAAUACAUUCUGAUGUAUGUUGUGGCAACUCAGGAUUAUAUUGGCAGUUGGAUUCUCCAUGUUGAUUAUAGGGGCAAUGUCAAACUCAAAAUCCAGGAAGUCAUGCGAGUUAUCCCACCAUCUAGUGCUCUCUAUGUGAGGUAUUCUACGUUUCAUUCAUGUACUCUUCAUAGUUGGCUAUUAUGUACCUGCCACUGCUGCAGCCUAAGACGAAAUGGCAAAGAGCCCAUGCUUAAGCAAGUUCUCAUUCAUUUACCCCAUUUUUUCCCGCUUGUUCCCAUGUUGCCUGAUUUGUUUUGUAACACUAAAAUCAUUGUGUAGAAAGGCAGUAUGCCUCAGACACAUUUGCUAAUUAAAUCAGCCAGUAGAGUAUUUUAUGAAAGAUAAAAACAUGGCACGGGCAAAUGUGAAUGAAAUCCCUAUUCAUUUCUGAAUUUGUCGAAGAACAUCAAAUCAGGAAACGGUGAGCACUAAAAAAUGGGUUCUGAAAAAACUAAUACAAAGAGGAAAAGAGUAACCAGAAACCUACUAUUUGCUAAAGGUAUGAGACUGCUUCUUCAAAGAGAAAAAAAGGGUACAUGAAAAUCUUUAGUUGUCAUCAUCAGCAGGGCCGUUGGGGGCCAGGACCAGUUCUCUUAGGCAAUAACAUGUUGUGAAUGUUAGGCAACACACCGCCAUUAGCAAUGGUAACAGAACCAAGCAGCUUGCUCAGUUCCUCAUCAUUGCUGAUCGCCAACUGAAUGUCUUGGCACAACUCGGUUCUUUUUGUUGUCCCUUGCUGCGUUCCCAGCCAACUCCAACACCUGCACCCGCCAAUUAAUUCCGAAUUCACAAUACCAUAUAUCAGUACAACAGUACCCAAAAGAAACCCCUAAUCCCUGCUAAUUUUCAUACUAAUGACUACUGUUAUCUCAAAAGAAACCCAAGUAAAGAUUGAACUCUUUCCAAGAGACCAAACAUACAAGCAGGCAGGAACCAUGGGGAGAGGUUCAUAGAGCUGAUAAUCCAAGUAAAAUUAUAACCUAGAAAGCAUACUGAUUAGCUUCAUGUCUCCAGCUUUGGUGAACUCAGUUCCACAGUGAUACAUCUACUCAUCUUGCCAUUACAACCACCUUUUGAAUAAAGGUAACAUAACAAAAGCUUCUAACAUGAACAGGAUCUCUGUACAACAAAAUUUCAGGCAUAUCACUCAAAUCCCAGCCCCUCCACCCCCCCUCUCUCCUCUUCUUCUAUCAUUCAGGAUCUAUUUGAGCUGCUGUCAAAAAAAAAAAAUCACCAUUUUAAAAAUGUUUAUUAAAGACCUUAAAAUUUUGGUUUUAAUUUAAAUUUAAUAUAUUUUAGCUAUAAAAACUUCAAAACAGUAAAACAUCUUUUUCAAACUGCUUUUUUUCAACAUCUAAAACCAACAUGACACAAUCAACACAAACAAUCAAGUCACAACAAAAAAUUAUGGCUCAAAUCAAUCGAUCAAAUAUUCACCACCUCAAGGUAAUAUAUAUCUUCAAACAAUUGAUAGACAAUUGAUGACAAAAACGCUAAAGUUUAAAGAAAAAACAGAUAAUAGGAGAAAUGAAAUUCUCAAAUCUGGAAAGAGCAUCUAAAGUAAUUAAAAACAAGGAUUACAAUAAAUUCCUCCAACCUAUAAUGGCAAAUUCCUGAGUUUGGUGUUAUGCAAACGUUGAGAAAGGAUAGAGAGGGAAAGUAAAUAGUUCAGCACAUAGUUUAGCUAACUCUAGAGCACAUAACAUUUUAAGAUGUAGCCACCUUGUCACCUGACCAAGUUAGCAACCUAUACAAAAUAAUAAGUUCCAUUACAUAUGGUAAAAGAUAUGGUGGCUAUCAAUUCUCUAAUAUAUAUGAAAAUAGCUUGGAUACAAUAAAAUAU